UACAGAGGUCCCGAGCGUUGUUCGGAUUCAUUGGGCGUAAAGGGUGCGUAGGCGGGUCUUUAAGUCAGGGGUGAAAUCCUGGAGCCCAACUCCAGAACUGCCUUUGAUACUGAGGAUCUUGAGUUCGGGAGAGGUGAGUGGAACUGCGAGUGUAGAGGUGAAAUUCGUAGAUAUUCGCAAGAACACCGGUGGCGAAGGCGGGUCUCUGGGCCGAUAUCGACGCUGAGACGCGAAAGCGUGGGGAGCAAACAGG
rnacentral:rRNA from 1 species